AGCCUCUCACAGCAAGAGGGGCACCUGGGGCCAAUCCCUCCACUCCUUCCACAAGGCCCCUCACCUCAGGUUUACAGUGAGCUGCUCAGGGAACCACAGCACACUCUCCACAGUUAAUGUCACUUCCCAUUUCUGCUGCUGAGAUGUCCCAAAUGGUGACAACAGGGAGCCUAUUAGAGCUUAGAAACUAGCUCUGUUCCCAGGGGACCAGUGUCCCAAAUUCAGUAACAGCACAACGAACAGGAGGAAGGGAAUUGUGUGUGUGUGUGCGUGUGUGUGUCCUGAAAAGUGCAGGAAAGAUGAGAGACCAGAGGAGGAGAGCUCCUGAUCACAACGACCCUCAUUGCACCCUCAAGGAAAGGUGCUCUGACCAUUGCAGGAGGAAAAUGGGGGCACACAGCCUGUUUUCCACACUCAUCCCACCCCCAACCUUCCCUGUCCUGCAGUUUAAUCAUGGAUGACCCGAAGGCACCAAGGCCUGGAUGCCUC